UAGGGAAUCUUCGGCAAUGGGGGCAACCCUGACCGAGCAACGCCGCGUAAGUGAAGAAGGUUUUCGGAUCGUAAAGCUCUGUUGUAAGAGAAGAACGUGUGUGAGAGUGGAAAGUUCACACAGUGACGGUAACUUACCAGAAAGGGACGGCUAACUACGUGCCAGCAGCCGCGGUAAUACGUAGGUCCCGAGCGUUGUCCGGAUUUAUUGGGCGUAAAGCGAGCGCAGGCGGUUUAAUAAGUCUGAAGUUAAAGGCAGUGGCUUAACCAUUGUUCGCUUUGGAAACUGUUAAACUUGAGUGCAGAAGGGGAGAGUGGAAUUCCAUGUGUAGCGGUGAAAUGCGUAGAUAUAUGGAGGAACACCGGUGGCGAAAGCGGCUCUCUGGUCUGUAACUGACGCUGAGGCUCGAAAGCGUGGGGAGCAAACAGG
rnacentral:rRNA from 1 species